rnacentral:rRNA from 1 species
AUUGAACGCUGGCGGCAGGCCUAACACAUGCAAGUCGAGCGAGCGGCGGACGGGUGAGUAAUGUAUGGGGACUGCCCGAUAGAGGGGGAUAACUACUGGAACCGGUAGCUAAUACCGCAUACUAUCGGAUAACCCAUAUGGGAUUAGCUAGUAGGUGAGGUAAUGGCUCACGUAGGCGACGAUCCCUAGCUGUUCUGAGAUGAUGAUCAGCCAAACUGUGACUGAGACACGGCCCAGACUCCGACGGAGGCAGCAGUGGGGAAUAUUGCACAAUGGGCGCAAGCCUGAUGCAGCCAUGCCGCGUGUAUGAAGAAGGCCCUAGGGUUGUAAAGUACGUUCAGCGGGGAGGCGUUACCCGCAGAAGAAGCACCGGCUAACUCCGUGCCAGCAGCCGCGGUAAUAC